rnacentral:rRNA from 1 species
UACGUAGGGUGCGAGCGUUGUCCGGAAUUAUUGGGCGUAAAGAGCUCGUAGGCGGCCUGUCGCGUCGGAUGUGAAAGCCCGGGGCUUAACCCCGGGUCUGCAUUCGAUACGGGCAGGCUAGAGUGUGGUAGGGGAGAUUGGAAUUCCUGGUGCAGCGGUGGAAUGCGCAGAUAUCAGGAGGAACACCGAUGGCGAAGGCAGCUCGCUGGAACGGUACUGACGCUGAGGCGCGAAAGCGUGGGGAGCGAACAGG